CAAGCAGACUAGGCUGUCGCGCCACGUGCGAGGAAAGUCCGCACUCCGUAGAGCUGGAUAGCGGGUAACCCCCGUCCGCCGCGAGGCGAGGACCAGUGGCACAGAGACCAUCGCCGGCCUCGGCCGGAGUGAAAAGAGCUAAACUCUAUCCGGAGCAAGCCCAAGCAGGGGACGUUCGCAGGCUGCUCGCCAAGUCCCGGGUAGGGCGCGAAGAGGGUCGGGGCAACCCGACGCCAAGAUAGAUGACAGCCCCCGACAGAAUGCGGCUUACAGGUCUGCUUGGUCU
rnacentral:RNase_P_RNA from 1 species